rnacentral:rRNA from 1 species
GACGAACCGUGCGAACGUUGUUCGGAAUCACUGGGCUUAACGGGCGCGUAGGCGGACACUCAAGUCGGUGGUGAAAUCCUCCGGCUCAACCGGAGAAGAGCUGUCGAUACUGGGUGUCUCGAGGGGUGUAGGGGUCUGUGGAACUUUGGGUGGAGCGGUGAAAUGCGUAGAGAUCCAAAGGAACGCCGGUGGCGAAAGCGACGGACUGGACACCUUCUGACGCUGAGGCGCGAAAGCCAGGGGAGCAAACGGG